rnacentral:misc_RNA from 2 species
CAACCCUCAAGCCCUGCUUGGUGUUGGGCCCUGCCCGUUGCGGCCGGCCCUAAAGUCAGUGGCGGCGCCGUCCGGCUCUAAGCGUAGUACAUCUCUCGCUCUAGGGCCCCGCGGUGGCUUGCCAGCAACCCCAACUCCUAU